AGAAUAUCAAUUCGCAGACAUACCCUCAGCAGGCAAUUUGCCCAGAAAAUAGGGAGCAGAUUUCUCCAUCUGGGGGAAGGAAUGGGAAAGAAUCACUCUCCUGUGGAAGCAAUAUCAGGAUCCACGCAGAAAAGCAUUCAGCCAGCAUUCACUGUGUGACCAAGAGAAGUCAUAACGUCAGAAUUGAUAGUGUUUCAUCAAGAUGUUCCAUUUUGGGGCAAGUCCAGAAAAUGUCAUAGACAAUUUUGAAUCAUUCCAAAGACUGUCAUUGCUAUUGGCCCAGCUAAGGCCAUAUCUCAUAGUAACAAAUUCAAAACAUGUGCCAUGCAGGACUCAAGGAAUGCUUCUGGUUUUCAGCCAAAUUUAUGGCCUUACGUCUUUUUUUUUUUUUUCACCAACCAU